rnacentral:rRNA from 1 species
AGAGUUUGAUCAUGGCUCAGGACGAACGCUGGCGGCGUGCUUAACACAUGCAAGUCGAGCGAGGUCCAUCCACUCGCAAGAGUGGUGAAGACCUAGCGGCGAACGGGUGAGUAACACGUGAGGAACCUGCCCCGGAGACCGGGAUAAGCCCCCGAAAGGGGGUCUAAUACCGGAUAUCCCCAUCGGACCGCAUGAUCUGAUGAGGAAAUGGAUUCCGCUCCGGGAGGGUCUCGCGGCCUAUCAGCUUGUUGGUGAGGUAACGGCUCACCAAGGCUUCGACGGGUAGCUGGUCUGAGAGGACGAUCAGCCACACUGGGACUGAGACACGGCCCAGACUCCUACGGGAGGCAGCAGUGGGGAAUCUUGCGCAAUGGGCGAAAGCCUGACGCAGCAACGCCGCGUGGGGGAUGAAGGCUCUCGGGUUGUAAACCCCUUUCAGCAGGGACGAUUAUGACGGUACCUGCAGAAGAAGGACCGGCCAACUACGUGCCAGCAGCCGCGGUAAUACGUAGGGUCCAAGCGUUGUCCGGAUUUAUUGGGCGUAAAGAGCUCGUAGGCGGCUUAGUAAGUCGGAUGUGAAAACUCGGGGCUCAACCCCGAGACGCCAUCCGAUACUGCUGUGGCUUGAGUCUGGUAGGGGAACACGGAAUUCCUGGUGUAGCGGUGAAAUGCGCAGAUAUCAGGAGGAACACCGAUGGCGAAGGCAGUGUUCUGGGCCAGUACUGACGCUGAGGAGCGAAAGCGUGGGGAGCAAACAGGAUUAGAUACCCUAGUAGUCC